AUGAGGUUUCAGUCCAAAGGAGUCACUGUGACAGGAGCAAUGCUGGCUCUGUAGCCAGAAGCUGGAGGUAUGAAACUCAGCUUUCUGGUACUCAUAAGCUCGUUUUGCUUACAUGCAUGCAGUAAAGAGUGAAAAUGGCCUAACAAGCUGUAUUUCCAUUAAAGGUGUGAAAGGAGAGAUCAGGAACAAGGAUAAACAAGAAAAUGCAGGCUGGUCUGCACCGUUCAUCGUGCUAACAACUUUGGCAUGCCUCCUCCUCGUUUUUAUCCUACUCCUCUGUUCCGUUGGCAAUAGACGAAAACAGGAAGUGCCACUCUUGUCAGAGUAUGGCCAACUGCAAGGCCAGCUAGG